UGGGGAAUAUUGCACAAUGGGCGCAAGCCUGAUGCAGCCAUGCCGCGUGUGUGAAGAAGGCCUUCGGGUUGUAAAGCACUUUCAGCGGGGAGGAAGGCGAUAAGGUUAAUAACCUUGGCGAUUGACGUUACCCGCAGAAGAAGCACCGGCUAACUCCGUGCCAGCAGCCGCGGUAAUACGGAGGGUGCAAGCGUGAAUCGGAAUUACUGGGCGUAAAGCGCACGCAGGCGGUCUGUCAAGUCGGAUGUGAAAUCCCCGGGCUCAACCUGGGAACUGCAUUCGAAACUGGCAGGCUAGAGUCUUGUAGAGGGGGGUAGAAUUCCAGGUGUAGCGAUGAAAUGCGUAGAGAUCUGGAGGAAUACCGGUGGCGAAGGCGGCCCCCUGGACAAAGACUGACGCUCAGGUGCGAAAGCGUGGGGAGCAAACAGG
rnacentral:rRNA from 1 species